ACGGGAGGCAGCAGUGGGGAAUAUUGGACAAUGGGCGCAAGCCUGAUCCAGCCAUGCCGCGUGUGUGAAGAAGGCCCGAGGGUUGUAAAGCACUUUUAGCGAGGAGGAAAGGUUAGUUGCUAAUAUCAACUAGCUGUGACGUUACUCGCAGAAAAAGCACCGGCUAACUCUGUGCCAGCAGCCGCGGUAAUACAGAGGGUGCAAGCGUUAUUCGGAAUUACUGGGCGUAAAGCGCGCGUAGGCGGAUUGUUAAGUCAGUUGUGAAAGCCCUGGGCUCAACCUAGGAAUGGCGAUUGAAACUGGCAGUCUAGAGUUUAGUAGAGGGAAGGGGAAUUUCUGGAGUAGCAGUGAAAUGCGUAGAUAUCAGAAGGAACAUCAGUGGCGAAGGCGCCUUCCUGGACUAAAACUGACGCUGAGGUGCGAAAGCGUGGGGAGCAAACGGGAUUAGAUACCCCGGUAGUCCACGCCCUAAACGAUGUCAACUAGCUGUUGGUCUUAUUAAAAAGAUUAGUAGCGC
rnacentral:rRNA from 1 species